rnacentral:sRNA from 1 species
GCUCAUUUGUGGUGAUUUUUUGUAGUGUUUCAAGUAUGAUAAAUGUGACGU